GUUUUGGUGUGUGUCUGAGUUUGCAGGUCAGGGUGAGCAGGUUACCAUGGGGACUGAGGGCGGAGUCUGGAGCCACAAUUGCUGCCACCUGUCUCACAUCAGCAGGCUCAUUAUCUAACUCUACUCCCUGCUAUUUAGGGGCAAGCAGGAGCUCCAGUCUUCGCCAGAUUGUCACACUUUACUGCGUGCUCUAGAUCUCGAUCCCCUGGAUAACCACAGCACCCAGGAUAUUAACCAACUGCUUGCCAAGCCGACUGCCUGCCUGCUCGCCCUGCCUGCAACCGAACACUCUCACCACCUCCCGGUUACCCCCUCCAGCUCUAGCCUUUCUCUGGAAUUCAAAAGACCCACCGGACCUGGACCUUGCCACUCACAAUCACUGUAAUAAAUAUUGUUUGCAUCUUACCUCAUCUCUCCGAGUGUUACUGCAUUUGGGUCCGGUUCCUGGUACUACGGUCUCCGACCGUGUCAGUACAAUCUGGCCAAAACAUGGACCCAGCAGACGCUCUUCAUUCUGCCCUCGCAGGGCAAGGAAAACUCCUGGGAG